rnacentral:rRNA from 1 species
GAGUUUGAUCGUGGCUCAGAGUGAACGCUGGCGGUAGGCCUAACACAUGCAAGUCGAACGGCAGCACAGAGGAGCUUGCUCCUUGGGUGGCGAGUGGCGGACGGGUGAGGAAUACAUCGGAAUCUACUCUGUCGUGGGGGAUAACGUAGGGAAACUUACGCUAAUACCGCAUACGACCUACGGGUGAAAGCAGGGGAUCUUCGGACCUUGCGCGAUUGAAUGAGCCGAUGUCGGAUUAGCUAGUUGGCGGGUAAAGGCCACCAAGGCGACGAUCCGUAGCUGGUCUGAGAGGAUGAUCAGCCACACUGGAACUGAGACACGGUCCAGACUCCUACGGGAGGCAGCAGUGGGGAAUAUUGGACAAUGGGCGCAAGCCUGAUCCAGCCAUACCGCGUGGGUGAAGAAGGCCUCGGUU